rnacentral:rRNA from 1 species
UAACACGUAGGUAACCUGCCCAUGUGUCCGGGAUAACUGCUGGAAACGGUAGCUAAAACCGGAUAGGUAUACAGAGCGCAUGCUCAGUAUAUUAAAGCGCCCUUCGAGGCGUGAACAUGGAUGGACCUGCGGCGCAUUAGCUAGUUGGUGAGGUAACGGCCCACCAAGGCGAUGAUGCGUAGCCGGCCUGAGAGGGUAAACGGCCACAUUGGGACUGAGACACGGCCCAA